GCCGGGCAUGGUGGUGCAUGCCUGUAAUCCCAGCUACUUGGGAGGCUGAGGCAGAAGAAUUGCUUGAACCCAGGAGGUGGAGGUUGCAGUGAGCCAAGAUCAGGCCACUGCACUGCAGCCUGGGCGACAGAGCAAGACUCCAUCUCAA
rnacentral:SRP_RNA from 2 species